rnacentral:misc_RNA from 1 species
CUGGGGCUUAGUCAUGUCCUCAAAAAACAUCGGCCAGCACAGAGGUAAUGAUGCAUUUGGAUUUGAUCGAUUGUUUGAGAUGUUAAUUAUCGGAAGCUUAUAUAACAAAUACCAAACGACCCUCUGCCUAGUUCUGUCUUUUGCUCCAUCCCUCUGGCUUGAGGGAAAGAUGUAGGAGCUGUAUGACUAAAAACCUACAAACUAGUAAUAAUGUAUGUAUGAG